UAAGAGGUCCCGCCUGCCCUGUGACAUUAGUUUAACGGCCGCGGUAUUUUGACCGUGCAAAGGUAGCGUAAUCACUUGUCUUUUAAAUGAAGACCUGUAUGAAUGGCAUAACGAGGGCUUAACUGUCUCCUCUAUCUAGUCAAUGAAAUUGAUCCCCCCGUGCAGAAGCGGGGAUAAAGCCAUAAGACGAGAAGACCCUAUGRAGCUUUAGACACCAGAACAGACUAUGUCAACUAUCCCUCAUACAAAAGUAAAACAAAAUACGUCCCUGUUCCAAUGUCUUCGGUUGGGGCGACCACGGGAUAAUAAAAACCUCCCGCGCGGAAUGGAAAUGCACCCUUCUACAACCAAGAGCCCCCGCUCUAAUUAACAGAACUUCUGACCACAAAGAUCCGGUUAACGCCGAUCAACGGACCGAGUUACCCUAGGGAUAACAGCGCAAUCCCCUUCUAGAGACCCUAUCGACAAGGGGGUUUACGACCUCGAUGUUGGAUCAGGACAUCCUAAUGGUGUAGCCGCUAUUAAGGGUUUGUUUGUUCAACA
rnacentral:rRNA from 1 species